rfam:Glycine soja cultivar W05 scaffold1605_24, whole genome shotgun sequence.
AUACUUACCUGGAUGGGGUCAAUGGGUGGUCAAGAUGGCCCAUGGCCUAGGAUAGUAAUCUCCAUUGCACUUUGGAGGGGUAUUAUUCUAAGGUCUGCCCAAGAGGCAGAGCCUACAUCAUAAUUUGUGAUAGUGGGGGCCUGCGUCCGCGCGGUCCCUUU